GCGCUCCACGGCUCUGUUGCUCUCCUCAGCGAUGGUUUCGUGGUCGUCCUAGACUCGGCAACUGCGCCCUCCGUAGGCACAGGUUUGGACUCCGCGACGCGGGGAGAUGAUGGGCUGGGUUCUGGAUCUGGACACCCACUCGAUGUAAGCGGCGACGCUCUCUCGAGGGCCAUUCCCGGACAGCUUCGCUCGUGUGGUGGUGUUUAGUCCUCGGAAGUGGAUCGAGCACAGGAAGCUGUCCGGGAAGCGCGAGUCGUUCGCGAGGGCGAGGAAGUCCUUAGUGUAGCCCUCGAGAGAGCGAUCCUCCUGCUCCAGCAGGAGGAUGAGGAAAUUUGGGUCGUUGUAGGGGGAAU